UUGUGGCAUAAAGAUGUUUUCCUAGUUAAGCAGACAAACUUUCAUUUAUCCAGAGGGUUUCAUGAAAACUAAAGAAAGUCCAUGAAACAUAUCCAAUUCAAAAUAUAACUAGAACAAUAUGUUUGUGAACUUCUACUACAGAGUUAUGGUAGUAUGAAGCAAUGAGAGCGAGAAUGGAUUUUCAAUUAUAUAUUUUGCCUCAAUCUUUAAGUCAAGUAGUUUUGUUAGUUUCCUAUGAACCUCUUCUUUUCAUGCAGUGCGCAAUGCAUAACCUUUGACUUAGUAGAAAGUGAUAUGCAAGUUUUACACCCAGAGAUUGUAUAGAAGAUCUAGUUAAUCAAAUAAGUUUUUUCUUUAUUUCUUGAAUAUUAUUACUGAUUUACUUUCGUCCCAAUGCAUGUGGCUCCCACCACUGUGGGAUGUAGGAAGGUUCAAAUGUACAAAGUCUUGCCCCCACGUGUAGAGAGGUUGUUUCUAUGUUUCGAACAUAUGACACCUAGAUCAUCAUGGAGCAACCUUUACCAUUGCAUCAAGGACCAC
rnacentral:lncRNA from 1 species